ensembl:lncRNA
GUAACGUUCACAUAAACAGUAAAGUGAUGAAAUAAUUUUUGUUGACUCUAGGUAUUCUGCUAAAGCUAGCGGUGUCACAUUACUUGCGUUUGACGUUGUGCGCCAUCGACUGGGAAACGGCUUAUACUUCUGGUUAGUAAAAAAAGGCUAGUGUUCCAUUUGAGACGAUAUUACCAUUCUAAAUACAUACACUAGACGAUACAGUACAUAGUGCAUAGUAUAAGUGUAUAGUAUGUCAUUUAGGACACAACUUUAGUAUUUACUCUCUGAAGCAUGUUUUCGGAACAGAAGUAAUGCAGGGUAUCCCAUGCCCUGCGCAGACCAACUAAUCAAUAACGAUACUCGCUUACAAUGAUUUUCAUAAUCGAUUAUUAUCAGUUUGAUUGAUUAGUUUUAGUUGUUGCAGUUCUAAGUCUUUUGAUAACAAUCGGUUGCAGACAGCUAGAUAACUUUUAAUCCUUGAGUAACACAUUUUAAACCUACAUUGAUUCCCACUUUCUGAUCUUAUUAUCUCUAGAAUUUUUUAUAGUAUUACAUUUACACUUCUUUGAUACUCCCGCCUCCCUCUUUUUGAUUGUGUAACUGACAUAAAUUCCAGCCAAUCAGUUCUUAACAACUGGGAAACAGAUACUUACUCCAGAAAUGCCAACUUUUCUUGCACUGAAACUGCCCACUACUAGUUGCUACUGAUUUUUGAAGGAAUUUUGGUUUGAAGACCGUGCGCAUUACACUAAAAAGCACUAGGCAGCAUAUUGAAUGUCAAAAUUAAAAUUUUUAAUGGGUUAUUUGACACAUUAUAAUGCACAGAAAAUAAGCAUACAGUACAUACUCACAGGAAAUCAGCCACAUGAUCCAAAUGGUGUACAACCUAUACACCGGAUACAUCAAUCACAUGCUACUGGUUUUUUGGGGUUUUUUUUUUUUUUUUUUUUUUUUUUUGUAUGCACAUAUUUUGGGAAGUGAUAAUUUGGGAAAAGACAGUUCAAGCAAUGUUUACUGCUUUUAAAGUAUGUUUAUAAGCACUUUAUUUUGUAUAGCUACUCACUAUGUUCAGAAAUGUUACUGUUAAAUCUGAUAAACACUGUACGUUAAAAUAAUUUAAGACCCUUUAAGACUGAACACUUCUGUCACAUAACACAAAAAUUUCAAGUCCAGAAUUUAUUUUCUUGCUUGUGCAGAAUCUUGUUCAGUUGUGAAGAAUGACAAAAUGCAUUUUAUAUUUGCACAUAUUAUAAAAUAGGCCUGAAG